GGGUCCCAGUAGUGUUCCUGGCGUCUCACGCCCCUCACGCGGGCUCCGCCUCCGACCCAUUUCGGGAGAGCUCGCAGAAGGCUAGGGACGCGUUCGAGCCCAGCGUGCGGCGUCCCCGGCAGCGGCAGAGCCAGCCCGCAGGUCUUCGCGUGGGACUGUCCAGUUGAUGGUUUUGGUGACCACGAAGGGCCCAGAGCAGACUUGUCUUCUUCACCUGAACUCUACGAGGAUCUGGAGCUUGGUACCAGCAGAGGCCUCUUUGGUCCAUGCACCUCCACCUCGUCAGAGAGUCCAGACGAAUUUGGCUCCCAGGAAACAUCCUGACCAGGCCCACCUGUGACGGACUGCAAGGAGGAAGAAAUGAAUGCAUCCCCUCCAGAGUCUGGCAGGAACCAGGAAACAUUUACAACAACUUAUCACCUUGUGUUUUUUUCUUUUUCUUUUUUAACUUUACCUCCUUACCUCCCCCUCUUUGUUUUAUAAAAGAAACUAGCAUCCAAACCCAGGCAAGAUGGUUCUUUGGGACACUAGUCCACCAUCUUCCCGGUCUGCUGGCUUUCUGAAUA